UGCAAAGUUUGGGAUCCACAGUCUACAAAACCCCACAUCCCCUGAGAAUUCUCUCGCCUGCCUUAGGCACUUAGGCUCCGGGAGAUUGCAAAUAACCUGCUUUCUUUCUGUUCCCGGGCUGCGUUCGGACUCCUGUCAGAUAGUAAAUCCUAAGUAAGGUGGCGUCGGACCCCUGUCAGAGAGUAAAUCUCAAGUAAGGUACCUGCCAUCGGCAGAUUUGAGCUUUCUUCUUGGACACCUAAUACCCACAGUCCUCCAGGCUCCGGUAGACUGCAAAUGACCUGCUUUCUUUCUGUUCCCGGGCUGCGUUUGGACCCCUGUCGGAUAGUAAAUCCCAAGCUCCGGUAGACUGCAAAUGACCUGCUUUCUUUCUGUUCCCGGGCUGCGUUUGGACCCCUGUCGGACAGUAAAUCCCAAGAAUGGAACAGAUAAGAAGAUACUGAAAUUGGACGGUGCUGCCGUGCGGCUGCCGCAGGACACCUUUAAUAUCCCUGUUUCUCAGGCUGUAGAUGAAGGGGUUCAGCAUGGAGGUGAUCACCGUGUACAUCACUGAGGCCACUGCAGCCUUUCUCGGGGAAGAUGACACAUCUGAACUGAGGUACCCUCCAAAGCCUGUUCCGUAAAAUCAGCAAACAACUGACAGGAUAACUUCAGGAAGUGGGUAUUAAUUCUCACGGUAUAAGUGAAGACAUUAAGCACCAGAGUUUAAGUAGCUUGAUCCACUGAAAGAGAUUCAACUGUGUGGAACCUAUGCCGUGGAGAAUUGCUUUCUGCCAUUGUUAUCGUCCAGCAGUUGCCGAAUAGCUCUGACCUGAGCAAAGCAGUGAAACGCGGUGCUGUUGAGUGGGUUGCCACUGCACCUUUUUCAACUACUCUAGUCUUGUGGAGAAAAUACCCCUUCUAAAUUUUUUCUUCAUUGAAUACUCUCCCUCAGCUCCAGAGUACCAUAUAGAGUUUUCUUGUAUUUUAGAGUUACUGUUUUAUCAAAGUUUACCAGUCUUUUGUAUUACAUUUCUCCUGUCUAAA
rnacentral:lncRNA from 1 species